GCCUGCAACUCUAAACUUUCCAGUAAUAUUACUUUUUGUCUCAUGAUAGUAUUGCGUAGUAUUUCUAGUAUCACUGAUAGUUUCAGAUCAAAGCAGCUGUUGCUAUCGUGGUUGUUAUGGCCAUGCAACUAGCUUUGCCUCUCAUUACAAAAUGUCAACACGUCAGCAGCUUCGUGCACUUCCGCUUAGUUAUUAUUAGUUGAAAGCGAAAUGUUAUAUUCUUUAUAUUUUUUAGUUGAAAAGCAAAAUCUUAUGGCUCCAUUUUGGUAUUCCGGCAGCCGAGAGAAAAUUUCAUACAGCCGUGUUCUCAAACAGGACCCAAAAUCCAAUUGCAGCAGCAUUCAUUUGAUAAACGUCUGACCUUUGAGAGAACCCGGUUAUUGGAAAAAUCUGAAAUUCAUAGUCUCCCGGUGUGGAUACUCACUCCCAGCGGCAUGGCAAAAACGUUUAUGAAAUCUAAAAGCAAUUGAAAUAAACUUGUUAAGAGAGAAAAGGAGAAUCCAUUGAAAAUUGUGGAGGAGACAACGAGACUGCUCGACUGAUUAGAAGCGCACUAAUAGAAUCCUGGGACUAAAUGGCGGAGCGUUAGCUGUGAAAGUUUGUUACCGUUUUAACUGGGAGAUUCUUCGGAGAGUACGGAUAUUUCUGAAAUUGUGACUUACGCUAUUUUACUUGUAUUGAAAACUAUGCAAAAAUAAAACGAAUGAUUAUUUU